rnacentral:rRNA from 1 species
GACGAACGCUGGCGGCGUGCUUAACACAUGCAAGUCGAACGAAGUGGCGAACGGGUGAGUAAUGCGUAAUCAACCUGCCCUUCAGAGGGGGAAAACAGUUGGAAACGACUGCUAAUACCGCACACUGAAGGAGGGGAUUGCGUCUGAUUAGCUCGUUGGCGGGGUAACGGCCCACCAAGGCGAUGAACAGUAGCCGGUCUGAGAGGAUGAACGGCCACAUUGUGACUGAGACACGGCCCAGACUCCUACGGUAGGCAGCAGUGGGGAAUCUUCCGCAAUGGACGAAAGUCUGACGGAGCAACGCCGCGUGAGUGAUGACGGCCGUCGGGUUGGAAAGCUCUGUUAAUCGGGACGCGGUACCGGAAUAGAAAGCCACGGCUAACUACGUGCCAGCAGCCGCGGUAAUUC